rnacentral:rRNA from 1 species
UACAGAGGGGGCAAGCGUUGUUCGGAAUUACUGGGCGUAAAGGGCGCGUAGGCGGUUUGACAAGUCUGAUGUGAAAUCUAUGGGCUCAACCCAUAGCCUGCAUUAGAAACUGUCGGGCUUGAGUAUGGGAGAGGUGAGUGGAAUUUCCGGUGUAGCGGUGAAAUGCGUAGAUAUCGGAAAGAACACCUGUGGCGAAAGCGGCUCACUGGACCAUAACUGACGCUGAGG